GACCCGCUAGCUCAGUCUGGUAGAGCAUUUGACUUUUAAUCAAAGGGUCCUGGGUUCGAAUCCCAGGCGGGUCA
rnacentral:tRNA from 1 species